CCUACGGGAGGCUGCAGUGGGGAAUAUUGCACAAUGGGCGAAACCCUGAUGCAGCGACGCCGCGUGAGUGAAGAAGGUUUUCGGUAUGUAAAGCCCUAUUAGCAGGGAAGAAGAAAGUCGGGACCUGACCAGGAUGCGCCGACGAACUACGCGCCAGCAGCCGCGGGAAUACGCAGGGGGCGCGCGGUAUCCGGAUUUACUGGGGGUAAAGGGAGCGUAGACGGCUGUGCAAGUCAGAGGUGAAAGCCCGGGGCUCAACUCCGGGACUGCGUUUGAAACUGUGUGGCUCGAGUGCAGGAGAGGUAGGUGGAAUGCCUGGUGUAGCGGUGAAAUGCGUAGAUAUUGGGAGGAACACCAGUGGCGAAGGCGGCUUGCUGGACAGUAAAUGACGCUGAGGCUCGAAAGCGUGGGGAGCAAACAGGAUUAGAUACCCCUGUAGUC
rnacentral:rRNA from 1 species